AUUGAACGCUGGCGGCAGGCCUAACACAUGCAAGUCGAACGAGUGGCGGACGGGUGAGUAAUGUCUGGGAAACUGCCUGAUGGAGGGGGAUAACUACUGGAAACGGUAGCUAAUACCGCAUACCAUCAGAUGUGCCCAGAUGGGAUUAGAUAGUUGGUGGGGUAACGGCUCACCAAGGCGACGAUCAGUAGCGGGUCUGAGAGGACGAUCGGCCACACUGGGACUUGGACACGGCCCAGACUCCGACGGGAGGCAGCAGUGGGGAAUUUUGGACAAUGGGGUCAACCCUGAUCCAGCCAUGCCGCGUGUAUGAAGAAGGCCUUCGGGUUGUAAAGUACUUUUGUUAGGGAGGCGGUACCUAAAGAAUAAGCACCGGCUAACUACGUGCCAGCAGCCGUGGUAAUAC
rnacentral:rRNA from 1 species